GACGAACGCUGGCGGCGUGCUUAACACAUGCAAGUCGAACGGAAAGGCCCUGCUUUUGUGGGGUGCUCGAGUGGCGAACGGGUGAGUAACACGAGAGUAACCUGCCCUUGACUUUGGGAUAACUUCAGGAAACUGGGGCUAAUACCGGAUAGGAGCUCCUGCUGCAUGGUGGGGGUUGGAAAGUUUCGGCGGUUGGGGAUGGACUCGCGGCUUAUCAGCUUGUUGGUGGGGUAGUGGCGUACCAAGGCUUUGACGGGUAGCCGGCCUGAGAGGGUGACCGGCCACAUUGGGACUGAGAUACGGCCCAGACUCCUACGGGAGGCAGCAGUGGGGAAUAUUGCACAAUGGGCGGAAGCCUGAUGCAGCAACGCCGCGUGCGGGAUGACGGCCUUCGGGUUGUAAACCGCUUUCGCCUGUGACGAAGCGUGAGUGACGGUAAUGGGUAAAGAAGCACCGGCUAACUACGUG
rnacentral:rRNA from 1 species